UGUCAAGAAAGUUAGUGCGGAAGCCGCGAGAGAUCUGGUGGACACCAUUUUGGGAAGGUCGAAUUAUUACGCUCAUCUACCCAAAACGCAGUCUGCAAAAUGCUUCAAAAAGCAACAAAGUAGCGUAUCAUAAAUUAAGUUUUAAUUACUGUUUAUGUCAAGUGGAAAAUGUGCAAGUAAAAUGUUAGUAGAACAGUAGAGACAGCGCUGCUUCCUCCACUUAUGGCAUGGCUAGCAGGGAAGAAGUGUUUCACAAGAAAGUUUUGGGGAAGCUGUACCCGGUGCCGCAGAGGUCUGAAAAAAGCCAGAGUCCGAAGAGAGACGCCGAGGCUGCGAUAGAAAAAACGGGUCUGGGCAUAAAGGCGGGGAAGAGACCGAUAACCGACACACAGAAUGCCUGCCAGCCACACAGGAGAUUGUACACAGUUCUGCCCCCACCGCCGGAUUUUGUGUCCAAUGACAAGGGAUCUGGGCCCCUCCCAGCUACUGGGGUGUUAAACACAGAUGUGCAUCUUGCUGAUGAGGAUGAAGAGGUUUUCCAGUGUGGAGGGCAGCGAAGGAGGAGGAGGAGGGUGAGGAAGGCUGGAAGAGAUGGUGCAGAGAGCCCGGCGGUCCAGGCUGCCGGAGGUCAGGAGGAUGAGGUGACCCCCACCAUGGCAGAAGGAGAGACGAAGCUCAGCAGGAACAAGAGGAGGAAGCUGAAGAAGAAACGGCGCAAGGAGAAGUUCCUCUCCCUAGGUCUGACUCCCAGUGCUGCUGCCCUGCAGUUCAUUUACCAGCCAGAGGAGGGCAGCAGAGAGGCCGAGGGCGAGGAACUGAUAGAGGACACACAGAGUAAUGAAAAGCAAAUGGCUGAGCUGCUGGAAUUCCUCCAGGCAACUCUGGAAGUCUAUGGCCGGUCGACCCCGGAUGGGAAGCAGCAAGACCUCAGCCCCAAGUCCGGCGCACAGGCCCUGCUUAAUGGGCUCUUUAGCCGGGCGGUACCCCCUUCGGACCUGUGCCGUCUGCGGCGCCUUAGGUCACUGGUGCUGCUACAGGAUGUGGACCGGCUGAGCACAGAACUGGGCCAAUUCCAGCAGAGCACCACCAUGGGUCCUGGAGAGCUCUCCCUCAUUUGUUCCCUGUUCCGCUACUGGAUUACGGACAUCCUUCCGGCGUCUGGAAAACAGACUGCACAGACUUCAUAACUUAUCCUGCUCGUGGUGAACACAGGGGUGCCCCCUGUCAGUAAGACUACAGUUACCUCGCUGAUUACUCUGAGAACUGCAGUCUCCAGCUUCACCUUGGCCUGUGGAGAGGUUACCCCCCCACCCCGUAAUCUCACAGCAUCCCAGACUGCAUACCACCCCCCGUCCUCUAUCGAGAGUAGGUACCAUCCUGAAGAGCGAAGGAUGGAAGGAAACUUGCCCUCUCAUGAAAUCUCAAACUCACAGCGUUUCACGGCGAGGUUACAGCUGACUGCCAUCAUCGCCUUUUUCACACCAGCGCCGAAGUCCGACAUCAACCUACUUUUGACCUAAACUGUUCCUCAGUGACCCCUAAAAUUCUCCUUUUCAUUUGGAUCCUUUUGCUUCGAGACUCCUGUGAGUUUCGGGCCGGUCCUUUCAAACUGGCAGCUGGGUGCCCCCUCCGGCCCGGGAGCGGGGCUGCGUCGCUCAGAUUGCCGCCGUCUGCCGUUCCCGUCUCCUCUGGGCUCCACACUGUCACCAGACGCCUUUCUUCGUUUUGUCGCGACACCCCAUCCGGCGACCUGCGCCCGCGUUUGGCCUCGCGGGGCCUCACAGUGGGACAGUCUCGAUCCAUCCCGAAUUUUCAUUAGUAACUUCUGGUGGCUCCAUGUGGUUAUGGGACCGCCAGCAGAAGAGCGGGUUAAUCUCCUGCCACCAGCCCGGCUGGGGCACGGCCUGGCACAGCCUGGCACAGGGUCAUAUCAACACUCCUGGCCGCUCGUCCACUUUGUGCAGUUGGCUGAAAUUGCCUCCCUCUCUCUAACGGCAUGAGGGCCCUUUUAACUGAAGGUAGCGCCCACCCGCACCCCAAACCACCACAUUCCCUCCCUGCUCUGUUUACGUGCCGAGAAACCCGGUGCCCCUCCUUCGUCCUAUUAGUUCAAGAAAACUUUGUCUUCAAGUGCUCAGACAGCCUGUGUGUGUCUGGGCGUCUGUGUGUGUGUGUGUGUGUGUGUGUGUGUGUGUCUGCGCGUCUCUGUGUGUGUGUCCCCUACCCAUUAACCGCAGUCAAAGAAAGCUUGUAUGGAAAACCAGCCUGGCUCCGGGGGGCGCCACUCGCACCCGGCUCUGUCCGCUAAUCAUACCCCCCCACACCUGGGUAAACAGUCUGAAAAAGAAUGAAUAAAUUAAACAAAUUAUCAAAUAAAUACCUCAUGCUGAGAUUGCCUUACGAAGGUCAAAACAAGUCUGGGGACAGUUAAAAGAUAACUGGAAAUAGAAGAAUGGGAACUUGUGUGGGCGGUGGGAUUUGGACUUGGGUGCUUUAGCACUCGGGCCGGGCUGGGCGGAGCACCAGAGACCGCGCCUCUCAGGAAGUGAUGACGGUCAUUACCGCUAUAAAGCAUUAGUUAUUUGCCGAACGGGUUGCUAUGCAAUUUUAUUAAAAGUGUUUUCCUCCUUACUUUCUGUUGUUUGAGAAACAGUGAGGGAUAACGGCCCUCCAGCAAAAACAAACACAACGGCCUUCUUUGUCACAGAUACGAGUUGUAAUUUGCCAAAUGAAAGAAGAUGGCUUUUUAAUCUCCUGGGAGAGCUUUUUUUUUUUUUGCAUGGCUGAUUCUUGUACUUUUU